CCUACGGGAGGCAGCAGUGGGGAAUAUUGGACAAUGGGGGGAACCCUGAUCCAGCCAUGCCGCGUGUGUGAAGAAGGCCCUCGGGUUGUAAAGCACUUUCAGUGAGGAAGAACGCCUGGUGGUUAAUACCCAUCAGGAAAGACAUCACUCACAGAAGAAGCACCGGCUAACUCCGUGCCGGCAGCCGCGGUAAUACGGAGGGUGCGAGCGUUAAUCGGAAUUACUGGGCGUAAAGCGCGCGUAGGUGGCUUGAUAAGCCGGUUGUGAAAGCCCCGGGCUCAACCUGGGAACGGCAUCCGGAACUGUCAAGCUAGAGUGCAGGAGAGGAAGGUAGAAUUCCCGGUGUAGCGGUGAAAUGCGUAGAGAUCGGGAGGAAUACCAGUGGCGAAGGCGGCCUUCUGGACUGACACUGACACUGAGGUGCGAAAGCGUGGGUAGCAAACAGGAUUAGAUACCCGAGUAGUC
rnacentral:rRNA from 1 species